rnacentral:rRNA from 1 species
AUUGAACGCUGGCGGCAUGCUUUACACAUGCAAGUCGAACGGUAACAGGGUGCUUGCACCGCUGACGAGUGGCGAACGGGUGAGUAAUGCGUCGGAACGUGCCGAGUAGUGGGGGAUAACGCAUCGAAAGGUGUGCUAAUACCGCAUACGUACUGAGGUAGAAAGUGGGGGACCUUCGGGCCUCACGCUAUUCGAGCGGCCGACGUCUGAUUAGCUAGUUGGUGAGGUAAAGGCUCACCAAGGCGACGAUCAGUAGCGGGGCUGAGAGGAUGAUCCGCCGUACUGGGACUGAGACACGGCCCAGACUCCUACGGGAGGCAGCAGUGGGGAAUUUUGGACAAUGGGCGCAAGCCUGAUCCAGCCAUGCCGCGUGUCUGAAGAAGGCCUUCGGGUUGUAAAGGACUUUUGUCCGGGAGCAAAUACCCAGUGCUAAUAACGCUGGGGGCUGAGAGUACCGGAAGAAUAAGCACCGGCUAACUACGUGCCAGCCGCCGCGGUAAGAC